UGACGGAGCAACGCCGCGUGAGUGAUGAAGGUUUUCGGAUCGUAAAGCUCUGUUGUUAGGGAAGAACAAGUGCCGUUCAAAUAGGGCGGCACCUUGACGGUACCUAACCAGAAAGCCACGGCUAACUACGUGCCAGCAGCCGCGGUAAUACGUAGGUGGCAAGCGUUGUCCGGAAUUAUUGGGCGUAAAGGGCUCGCAGGCGGUUUCUUAAGUCUGAUGUGAAAGCCCCCGGCUCAACCGGGGAGGGUCAUUGGAAACUGGGGAACUUGAGUGCAGAAGAGGAGAGUGGAAUUCCACGUGUAGCGGUGAAAUGCGUAGAGAUGUGGAGGAACACCAGUGGCGAAGGCGACUCUCUGGUCUGUAACUGACGCUGAGGAGCGAAAGCGUGGGGAGCGAACAGGAUUAGAUACCCUGGUAGUCCACGCCGUAAACGAUGAGUGCUAAGUGUUAGGGGGUUUCCGCCCCUUAGUGCUGCAGCUAACGCAUUAAGCACUCCGCCUGGGGAGUACGGUCGCAAGACUGAAACUCAAAGGAAUUGACGG
rnacentral:rRNA from 1 species